CUUGACGACCAUAGAGCGUUGGAACCACCUGAUCCCAUCCCGAACUCAGUAGUGAAACGACGCAUCGCCGAUGGUAGUGUGGGGCUUCCCCAUGUGAGAGUAGGUCA
rnacentral:rRNA from 1 species